rnacentral:rRNA from 1 species
UACGUAGGUGGCAAGCGUUAUCCGGAAUUAUUGGGCGUAAAGCGCGCGUAGGCGGUUUUUUAAGUCUGAUGUGAAAGCCCACGGCUCAACCGUGGAGGGUCAUUGGAAACUGGAAAACUUGAGUGCAGAAGAGGAAAGUGGAAUUCCAUGUGUAGCGGUGAAAUGCGCAGAGAUAUGGAGGAACGCCAGUGGCGAAGGCGACUUUCNUGGUCUGUAACUGACGCUGAUGUGCGAAAGCG